AAGGAAUGCACACAUCACCAGCUCGGACCAUCUAACUAACUUGGACUUUUGUACUCCAAGUCCUUCGUUCUGAAGGUUCGACUGCUGAAAGCUUGUACCAAUGUGGAGGGAUCAAGGAUCCCCACUGUGUGGACCAUGCCAUCUUCUAGCAGCUACCAUCAAGCAAGAGGUGCUGAAGGCAUUGAUGUAAUCAUGAAGAAGGUACAACAGCAGCUCUACUUCAUGAAGAGUUUGAGGAGAUUUAGUAAUUAACUGAUGACUAGCAAAUUUCUACAGAUGGUACAGCGGAGACUAUUCUGACUGGUUGCAUCACCACCUGUUAUGGAGGCUCCAAAAAGAGGCUGCAGAGGGUCGUAGACUCAGCCAAUUCCAUCACGGAUACAACACUCCUUACCGUCAGGGACAUCUUCAAGAAAUGAUGCCUGAAGAAGGCAGUGUCCAUAAUCAAGAAGGACCUUCACCAUGCGGGACGAGCUCUCUUCUCAUUACUACCAUCGGGGAGGAGGCACAGGGGCCUUAAGAUCCAUAUUCAACAGUUUACAACAAUGUCUUUUCCUUUGCAUUUUCUGAAUGGUCAUGAGCCUACAAAAACGAUCUCACUAAUCCUUUCACUCUAUAUUUACUUUUUGUAACCUACAGUAAUUUUACUGUCUUGUGAUGAACUGUGGCCACAAUGGAACAAGUUUCACAUUGUAAUAAACCUGUCAGUGAUAAUAA